GGGWGAAGUCGUAACAAGGUAGCCGUACCGGAAGGUGUGGCUGGAACACCUCCUUUUUGGAGCUUAACUGUAACUAAGCUCUACUCUGUCUUUCAAUUAUUAUAUAAUGUGCCAUGUAAAAGUUUAAAAGACGAGUUACACAAUCGGUUCGUGACCGUAAGGCAUGUCAAAGGGAAAAAGGUGUGAACCAUUCCUUAUUAGUUCUUUGAAGUUUUGAGAGAGAUAAAGAGGUAAAAAAAAGAGAUAAAUUUUAGAUUUAUUUCGAGCAAAAAAAAUGAU
rnacentral:misc_RNA from 1 species